AGACGUUCGACUCCAACCCUCGACUCUCUCUCUCCAUCCCUACAAGUAGGGUAGAGACGAAGGGGCGUGAUUUGUUCUCGCCAUAAUCUUUCGCUCCGGACGCGAUUAUUGUAGGUCAGAGCCUUCCCUUCCCACUCUGUCCUCCUUCCCUUCCCACUCUCUCCUCUCACCUUCGAUCUAUUUCGUUGCAAUACUUUUUCUUAUUUAGGUUUCUUUCAUCUACGAUGUCGGAGAUGGCUUGAAAGAUCCCACCUUUCGUCUUCUCCACGCUAUUUUCUAACCGGAUUUCUGUAAUUUAGUGUUUUGUUUCGAUUUCACGCGGCGUCCGCGUCCAAUUCUCAUCAAGAAAAAGCUUUUUCGGUCUUUGAUCCUUUGAAGAUUUGGGACAGAAAGAGAGAUUAUUCUUUUUAGAAGCUGUUCAAAGAGAAAUUUUCGUCAUCUGGAAGCCAUCUGUUGUCUAGGUUUUUUAUAUGUUUUCCUCUUUUCAAUUUCAGAUGCGAAGAUAAGUGAAUUUAUUGUUAUUCGAUCUGUACAUGCCCUGUAAGCUCUAUCUAUCGAUGUCCGGAACAAAUUCAAUAUUGACAAGCUGUUCGAAUGGCUAAAGAUUCUAUCUUUCAUUCAAAUCCUCGUGCUGUCCAUGUCUUAAGAUGUUGGAGAUUUCGGUCUCCAAUUGUUCCCUUUGAUAUACAUAAAUAUUUUUCUAACUUUUUUGUCAUCUACUCUCUUCUAUGAUAUACUGUAAGAUAAUGCCAUUGAGAAAUUGGCUCCAAUGGCAUCAAAAAUCCCAACUUUCUUUCUCUCCAAGCGGCUUCCGAUCCAGUCUUCUUUAAAAACUUUUCGGUUUUAUUCAAUUUCCUGUGCUGCCUGUGUUCAAAAUCCUCCAGAAAUAGAUAGAAGUACUCCAAAUUCUGCUGAGUUUGAAUCUGCGACCUGCUCUCUCAGGAACAGGCUCCACCAAGACAGGCUAAUCCGUGUUUUGGAUUCGACAUUGGAUUUGAACUUGGCUGUUAACAUCUUCAAAUGGGCAUCCGUCCAGAAAAAAGUCCAGCCGACACUGGAGAUUUAUACCCACAUGAUAUUGAAGCUGGGUCUGGCAGGAAACCACCAAGAAAUGGGGGAUCUCUUGAAGGAGAUGGUGAACUUGGAGCUUUCAAAUUUAGAAGAGGCAUUGGUUUCUAUGAUCUAUUCCUUUUGCCGAAACCACAUGCUAAUAGAAGCUUUAAAGGUUUUUGAACAUGCAAAUUCAGUGAAGCGCAUAUUGUCGGUAUCAUCAUGCAAUGCUUUAUUGGGCAUUUUUGUCUCAAAAAGGGGAAAUUUUCAGUCUGUGAUGUUUGUCUAUAAGGAAAUGGUUAAAGCAGGGAUUCUUCCUGAUGUUGAAACAUUGAAUUACUUAAUAAAGGCAUUGUGUGAGUCUGGUCACUUGGAAUUGGCGCUAAACCAGUUUCAUAGAAUGAGCAAGAAACAAUGUGCUCCAAAUAGUCAGACAUUUGAGAUACUCAUCAGUGCUCUUUGUUCAAGCGGCAGAGUAGAUGAAUCGGUCAAGGUUUUGAAUCAGAUGUUGGACCUGGGCAGCAAACCCCAUCAUGACUUUUAUGUUAGUAUCAUACCUCUAUUUUGCAGGGUUAACAGAUUCGAGGAAGGCAUUAAGUUGUUUAGAAUGAUGAAAAAUACAGGUCUUCAGCUUGAGGCCCAUCUGUACAGUAUUUUAGUUCUAUGUUUAUGUGAAAAUCAACAUUUGGAUGAUGCAGUUGAGCUUUUUGAAGAUAUGUUAGCAUCAGGCUUUGCUCCUGUGACUAGUCUGUAUGUGGAUAUUGUGAAUGGGUAUUGCAAAAUAGGGAACCUGGACGAAGCUAUGAACUUCUUGGAUGGAAACAAUACCUUGGAAAUCGAACCUUAUAAUGCCUUGCUCAAAGGUUAUUGUAGUGAGGGCAGGUUUCUGGAGGCAAUUAUAUAUCUUAGAAAGAAGGCAGAUCAGGGACUAACUGACAGUAUGUCUUGGAAUAUCAUUAUAAGGGGCCUUUGUGAGAAUGAAAAUGUUGGAAAAGCGUUUGAAGUUAUUGGUAGAAUGAUUGUCUCUUCUUACAUGCCCGAUCAGGCUACUUAUUCUGCAAUUAUAAUUGGGUACUGUAAGAUGGGUUCAUGCGAGAAUGCUUUAGAUAUGUUCAGACUGGCCUGUGUCAAUAACAUGACUUUGGAUUCAGAAUCUUGCUCAGAAUUGAUUGAGGGUUUGUGUCAUGUAAAACAAGUACAGGAGGCCACAGAAGUGUUUUACUAUAUUACUAACAAAGGCCUCGGUCUCACCACUAACUCACUCAUUGUGUUGAUCCAAGAAAUUUGUCAUGCUGGAAAGGUGCAUGAAGCUAUCGGACUUCGUUCGCUUGCAGUUCAUAAGGGUACUUAUUGUAUUCCAGAUACAUACGCCACUAUUUUGCUUGCAUUGUUGGAUCUGAACAAAGAAAAGAAUAUAUUAGUAUUCCUUUCCCAAAUGUUGGUGGAAGGCCAUAAUCUAAAUGCAAGAAUAUACUGUAUUCUUAUACGUGGCUUGUGUACCGACAGCACAAUGACUGUGGCCACUCUUUUAUUCAAUCAAAUGAUUCGUGAUGGAUUUGUUCCUGAUUCCAAAACAUUUGAAACUUUAGUGUUCAGUAUGGCAAAAUUCUCUCAAUUGCAUAUAGUGGUGCAUAGCUUAGAAAAAAUAAUUAAUGAAAACAGACUAGUUAGUCCCACAGUAUGUAACAUGAUCAUCCAUGGCCUCUUGAAAGAGGGCCACAGACACGAGGCUUGUAAGUUUCUGGACCGGAUAAUAGAGAUGGGUUGCGUUCCAGAUGCUGAUACACAUGGAUUGUUGGUUGGAAGUUUCAAUGUAGAAGAAAGGGAUGGAACUACUGGGGUAUCUGAAGCUCUUAAGAAUGACAACGUGAGCAACAUAUUGGCCGAAGGUCUGAACAAAUAUAAUGAGCACAUGGUUGAAGAAUAAUGUAACAAUAUGCUGAAGUGUCAUAGCUGCAUGAUGAUUGAUGUGCAUGAGCUCUCAUUCGAGUUCCAAGUGCUUCAUCUCAUCUGGGGAGAUUCCUCACGUGGAGGGCUUGACCAUCCAUUAUCUUUAGAAGCUGCAAAAGGAAGCAGCUUUCCAUGGAGACUGCCCUUAUCCUUUGUAUCAUCAUGGAAGGUGCCAUUCAUGGUAAUGAGUCUAGUACAGGAAUUGCAUCAUAGUACCUUCCCCACCACUUGCUGGACAUAAACCUACAUAUCAUGGUGGUUGCUUGCAUAGCGCUCUUUGAUGGAUGGAUCAUGUCAUGGAGAAGGUGUCUUUGGCAGUCAGAUUCAAGAAAAAAUUGCCAGUAACCUGGUGUACCAGAUGUUGAGAGAACAGAAAGGUAAUGGAAGAGGUGCAACUCGAGAUAUACCAAAAGCUUUACAUCCAUGGAGAUCGAAAUAAAAACUUUACAUCCAUGGGGUUAUUUUGUUUAUUUGUUCUCCCGAGCCAACUCUCUUCUGUUCACCUAGUAGCCAUGCUAGUUUUGCAUGCGUUGUCCAAAACUUGCUUGGCUCAGUUCUUACAUUAGUGGAGUUGAUUCCAUUGCUCAUAAAGUAGAUUUAGUCCCACAUCUAGUAUGAUGGAGAUUAGACCAGAGGCCUGAGAGGAUAAACAGAGAGGCUUAGACAACUAGAAGUCAUAGUUCCCUGUGUGUGAAACUGGACAUCAUAAUUUGUGGCAGCUUCCAUUUCCAAAUUUUAAGUAUUUUGUUUAUCGCGCACUUGUUGGUCAUAGGUGGGCUUUUGAUGAAAUUUACUAUUGAAGAUGUUCUCUUUAUUUCGCUCUAUAUCCACCAUCUGUUUCCAUCUCUA